rnacentral:rRNA from 1 species
UACAGAGGUCCCAAGCGUUGUUCGGAUUCACUGGGCGUAAAGGGUGCGUAGGUGGUGAGGUAAGUCGGAUGUGAAAUCUCCGAGCUCAACUCGGAAACUGCAUUGGAAACUACCUUGCUCGAGGGUUGGAGGGGGAGCUGGAAUACUUGGUGUAGCAGUGAAAUGCGUAGAUAUCAAGUGGAACACCAGUGGCGAAGGCGAGUCCCUGGACAACUCCUGACACUGAGGCACGAAAGCUAGGGGAGCAAACAGG